UGGGGAAUCUUGCGCAAUGGACGAAAGUCUGACGCAGCGAUCUCGCGUGAAGGAUGAAGCUUUGCGGAGUGUAAACUUCUUUUCUGGGAGAAGACAACUGACAGUAUCUCAGGAAUAAGGGACGGCUAACUACGUGCCAGCAGCCGCGGUAAUACGAAGGGGGCUAGCGUUGUUCGGAAUCACUGGGCGUAAAGCGCACGUAGGCGGAUGUGCCAGUCAGGGGUGAAAUCCCGGAGCUCAACUCCGGAACUGCCUCUGAUACUGCACGUCUUGAGUUCGAGAGAGGUGGGUGGAAUUCCUAGUGUAGAGGUGAAAUUCGUAGAUAUUAGGAAGAACACCGGUGGCGAAGGCGGCCCACUGGCUCGAUACUGACGCUGAGGUGCGAAAGCGUGGGGAGCAAACAGGAUUAGAUACCCACGUAGUCCCUGAGCGGGCUGGCAAGGCGCAU
rnacentral:rRNA from 1 species